AUUGAACGCUGGCGGUAUGCUUAACACAUGCAAGUCGAACGAUGAGAAAGAGCUUGCUCUUUCGAUUAGUGGCGGACGGGUGCGUUACGCGUAGGAAUCUACCUAUUAGUGGGGGACAACUUAGGGAAACUUAAGCUAAUACCGCAUACGCCCUACGGGGGAAAGAAGGGGAUCGCAAGACCUUUUGCUAAUAGAUGAGCCUGCGUAGGAUUGGCUAGUUGGUGGGGUAAAAGCUCACCAAGGCGACGAUCCUUAACUGGUUUGAGAGAAUGAUCAGUCACACUGGAACUGAGACACGGCCCAGACGCCUACGGGAGGCAGCAGUGGGGAAUAUUGGACAAUGGGCGAAAGCCUGAUCCAGCAAUACCGCGUGUGUGAAGAAGGCCUGAGGGUUGUAAAGCACUUUCAAUAGGGAGGAAUAGCGGCCGGCGAAUACCCGGUCGUCUGACAUUACCUAUACAAGAAGCACCGGCUAACUCCGUGCCAGCCGCCGCGGUAACAC
rnacentral:rRNA from 1 species